UACGAAGGGGGCGAGCGUUGUUCGGAAUUACUGGGCGUAAAGGGCGCGCAGGCGGCUCUGGAAGUCAGAUGUGAAAGCCCCGGGCUUAACCGGGGAACUGCUUCCGAUACUGGAUGGCUAGAGUGUGGGAGAGGGAUGCGGAAUUCCAGGUGUAGCGGUGAAAUGCGUAGAUAUCUGGAGGAACACCGGUGGCGAAGGCGGCAUCCUGGACCACGACUGACGCUGAGUGAGCGAAAGCCAGGGGAGCAAACGGG
rnacentral:rRNA from 1 species